rnacentral:rRNA from 1 species
CCUACGGGCGGCAGCAGUGAGGAAUAUUGGUCAAUGGCCGGAAGGCUGAACCAGCCAAGCCGCGUGAAGGACGAAGGUGCCAAGCAUUGUAAACCUCUUUUGCCGGGGAGCAACGGGCGCCACGUGUGGCGCCACUGAGAGUACCCGGAGAAAAAGCAUCGGCUAACUCCGUGCCAGCAGCCGCGGUAAUACGGAGGAUGCGAGCGUUAUCCGGAUUUAUUGGGUUUAAAGGGUGCGUAGGCGGAUCGUUAAGUCAGUGGUCAAAUUGAGGGGCUCAACCCCUUCCCGCCAUUGAAACUGGCGCUCUUGAGUGGAAGAGAAGUAUGCGGAAUGCGUGGUGUAGCGGUGAAAUGCAUAGAUAUCACGCAGAACCCCGAUUGCGAAGGCAGCAUGCCGGCUUCCGACUGACGCUGAAGCACGAAAGCGUGGGGAUCGAACAGGAUUAGAUACCCCAGUAGUC